UAUAUGCUUCUCCCUGUAUUCUCCCUGUAUUGGAUUUAGGUGAUAUUGUUUAUAUGCUUCUCCCUGUAUUGGAUUUUGGUGAUAUUGUUUAUAUGCUUCUCCCUGUAUUCUCCCUGUAUUGGAUUUUGGUGAUAUUGUUUAUAUGCUUCUCCCUGUAUUCUCCCUGUAUUGGAUUUAGAUUAUAUUGUUUAUAUGCUUCUCCCUGUAUUCUCCCUGUAUUGGAUUUAGGUGAUAUUGUUUAUAUGCUUCUCCCUGUAUUGGAUUUUGGUGAUAUUGUUUAUAUGCUUCUCCCUGUAUUCGAUUUAGGUGAUAUUGUUUAUAUGCUUCUCCCUGUAUUCUCCCUGUAUUGGAUUUAGGUGAUAUUGUUUAUAUGCUUCUCCUUGUAUUGGAUUUUGGUGAUAUUGUUUAUGUGCUUCUCCCUGUAUUGGAUUUAGGUGAUAUUGUUUAUGUGCUUCUCCCUGUAUUGGAUUUUGGUGAUAUUGUUUAUGUGCUUCUCCCUGUAUUGGAUUUUGGUGAUAUUGUUUAUGUGCUUCUCCCUGUAUUCUCCCUGUAUUGGAUUUUGGUGAUAUUGUUUAUAUGCUUCUCCCUGUAUUCUCCCUGUAUUGGAUUUUGGUGAUAUUGUUUAUGUGCUUCUCCCUGUAUUGGAUUUUGGUGAUAUUGUUUAUGUGCUUCUCCCUGUAUUGGAUUUUGGUGAUAUUGUUUAUGUGCUUCUCCCUGUAUUGGAUUUUGGUGAUAUUGUUUAUGUGCUUCUCCCUGUAUUGGAUUUUGGUGAUAUUGUUUAUGUGCUUCUCCCUGUAUUGGAUUUUGGUGAUAUUGUUUAUGUGCUUCUCCCUGUAUUGGAUUUUGGUGAUAUUGUUUAUGUGCUUCUCCCUGUAUUCUCCCUGUAUUGGAUUUUGGUGAUAUUGUUUAUAUGCUUCUCCCUGUAUUCUCCCUGUAUUGGAUUUUGGUGAUAUUGUUUAUGUGCUUCUCCCUGUAUUGGAUUUUGGUGAUAUUGUUUAUGUGCUUCUCCCUGUAUUGGAUUUUGGUGAUAUUGUUUAUGUGCUUCUCCCUGUAUUGGAUUUUGGUGAUAUUGUUUAUGUGCUUCUCCCUGUAUUGGAUUUUGGUGAUAUUGUUUAUGUGCUUCUCCCUGUAUUCUCCCUGUAUUGGAUUUAGGUGAUAAUGUUUAUAUGCUUCUCCCUGUAUUGGAUUUAGGUGAUAUUGUUUAUAUGCUUCUCCCUGUAUUGGAUUUUGGUGAUAUUGUUUAUAUGCUUCUCCCUGUAUUCUCCCUGUAUUGGAUUUAGGUGAUAUUGUUUAUAUGCUUCUCCCUGUAUUCUCCCUGUAUUGGAUUUAGGUGAUAUUGUUUAUAUGCUUCUCCUUGUAUUGGAUUUUGGUGAUAUUGUUUAUGUGCUUCUCCCUGUAUUGGAUUUAGGUGAUAUUGUUUAUGUGCUUCUCCCUGUAUUGGAUUUAGGUGAUAUUGUUUAUGUGCUUCUCCCUGUAUUCUCCCUGUAUUGGAUUUUGGUGAUAUUGUUUAUAUGCUUCUCCCUGUAUUGGAUUUAGGUGAUAUUGUUUAUAUGCUUCUCCCUGUAUUCUCCCUGUAUUGGAUUUAGGUGAUAAUGUUUAUAUGCUUCUCCCUGUAUUGGAUUUAGGUGAUAUUGUUUAUAUGCUUCUCCCUGUAUUGGAUUUUGGUGAUAUUGUUUAUAUGCUUCUCCCUGUAUUCUCCCUGUAUUGGAUUUAGGUGAUAUUGUUUAUAUGCUUCUCCUUGUAUUGGAUUUUGGUGAUAUUGUUUAUGUGCUUCUCCCUGUAUUGGAUUUUGGUGAUAUUGUUUAUGUGCUUCUCCCUGUAUUCUCCCUGUAUUGGAUUUUGGUGAUAUUGUUUAUAUGCUUCUCCCUGUAUUGGAUUUAGGUGAUAUUGUUUAUAUGCUUCUCCCUGUAUUUGAUUUAGGUGAUAUUGUUUAUGUGCUUCUCCCUGUAUUCUCCCUGUAUUGGAUUUUGGUGAUAUUGUUUAUGUGCUUCUCCCUGUAUUUGAUUUAGGUGAUAUUGUUUAUAUGCUUCUCCCUGUAUUCUCCCUGUAUUUGAUUUAGGUGAUAUUGUUUAUGUGCUUCUCCCUGUAUUCUCCCUGUAUUGGAUUUAGGUGAUAUUGUUUAUAUGCUUCUCCCUGUAUUGGAUUUUGGUGAUAUUGUUUAUAUGCUUCUCCCUGUAUUGGAUUUUGGUGAUAUUGUUUAUAUGCUUCUCCCUGUAUUUGAUUUAGGUGAUAUUGUUUAUGUGCUUCUCCCUGUAUUCUCCCUGUAUUGGAUUUUGGUGAUAUUGUUUAUAUGCUUCUCCCUGUAUUGGAUUUUGGUGAUAUUGUUUAUAUGCUUCUCCCUGUAUUGGAUUUUGGUGAUAUUGUUUAUAUGCUUCUCCCUGUAUUGGAUUUUGGUGAUAUUGUUUAUAUGCUUCUCCCUGUAUUGGAUUUUGGUGAUAUUGUUUAUAUGCUUCUCCCUGUAUUUGAUUUAGGUGAUAUUGUUUAUGUGCUUCUCCCUGUAUUCUCCCUGUAUUGGAUUUUGGUGAUAUUGUUUAUGUGCUUCUCCCUGUAUUUGAUUUAGGUGAUAUUGUUUAUAUGCUUCUCCCUGUAUUCUCCCUGUAUUGGAUUUAGGUGAUAUUGUUUAUAUGCUUCUCUCUGUAUUCUCCCUGUAUUUGAUUUAGGUGAUAUUGUUUAUGUGCUUCUCCCUGUAUUCUUCCUGUAUUGGAUUUUGGUGAUAUUGUUUAUGUGCUUCUCCCUGUAUUUGAUUUAGGUGAUAUUGUUUAUUUGCUUCUCCCUGUAUUCUCCCUGUAUUUGAUUUAGGUGAUAUUGUUUAUGUGCUUCUCCCUGUAUUCUCCCUGUAUUGGAUUUUGGUGAUAUUGUUUAUGUGCUUCUCCCUUUAUUUGAUUUAGGUGAUAUUGUUUAUAUGCUUCUCCCUGUAUUCUCCCUGUAUUUGAUUUAGGUGAUAUUGUUUAUGUGCUUCUCCCUGUAUUCUCCCUGUAUUGGAUUUAGGUGAUAUUGUUUAUAUGCUUCUCCCUGUAUUGGAUUUUGGUGAUAUUGUUUAUAUGCUUCUCCCUGUAUUGGAUUUUGGUGAUAUUGUUUAUAUGCUUCUCCCUGUAUUUGAUUUAGGUGAUAUUGUUUAUGUGCUUCUCCCUGUAUUCUCCCUGUAUUGGAUUUUGGUGAUAUUGUUUAUAUGCUUCUCCCUGUAUUGGAUUUUGGUGAUAUUGUUUAUAUGCUUCUCCCUGUAUUGGAUUUUGGUGAUAUUGUUUAUAUGCUUCUCCCUGUAUUGGAUUUUGGUGAUAUUGUUUAUAUGCUUCUCCCUGUAUUGGAUUUUGGUGAUAUUGUUUAUAUGCUUCUCCCUGUAUUGGAUUUUGGUGAUAGUGUUUAUAUGCUUCUCCCUGUAUUGGAUUUUGGUGAUAUUGUUUAUAUGCUUCUCCCUGUAUUCUCCCUGUAUUGGAUUUUGGUGAUAUUGUUUAUGUGCUUCUCCCUGUAUUCUCCCUGUAUUGGAUUUUGGUGAUAUUGUUUAUGUGCUUCUCCCUGUAUUGGAUUUUGGUGAUAUUGUUUAUGUGCUUCUCCCUGUAUUGGAUUUUGGUGAUGUUGUUUAUAUGCUUCUCCCUGUAUUGGAUUUUGGUGAUAUUGUUUAUAUGCUUCUCCCUGUAUUGGAUUUUGGUGAUAUUGUUUAUGUGCUUCUCCCUGUAUUCUCCCUGUAUUGGAUUUUGGUGAUAUUGUUUAUGUGCUUCUCCCUGUAUUCUCCCUGUAUUGGAUUUUGGUGAUAUUGUUUAUGUGCUUCUCCCUGUAUUCUCCCUGUAUUGGAUUUUGGUGAUGUUGUUUAUAUGCUUCUCCCUGUAUUGGAUUUUGGUGAUAUUGUUUAUAUGCUUCUCCCUGUAUUGGAUUUUGGUGAUAUUGUUUAUAUGCUUCUCCCUGUAUUCUCCCUGUAUUGGAUUUUGGUGAUAUUGUUUAUAUGCAUGUGGCAACCCCUGCAAUCCGUUUUAAUGAUAGGUUAAAUAUAAAACAUUGUGAUUUUAGAUAUGACAACAUCAUCAGUGUCAUGCCAUUGUUGGUGUUGUAUGCUUUGUCAUUUUAACACGGGUGAUGUUAGCCUUGUCAGCUAGCUGGGACAUGUACCCUCUCCCCUCUCUAACUUUUCUAUCAUUCCCCUUGCACUUUCCCCCUCUCUCUACAGAGCUGCCCUCUCUGUGGUCCACCACACAAACACACAGCCUGACACUGGGUCACGCUUAAUUCCAGCCACAAUCCCCCCCACCCCUCUCCGUCUUUCUCUGCUCUCUCUCUCUUUCAUCUCUCUUUCUCCUCUCCUCUGUCCUCUGUUUGCAGGUCCCAUUCAACCCAGCAGGGCCAGAGCUGAAAGGGAAAAUGUGUUUAGUAUGCAGUGAUGGCACAAGAGGUUUAUCCUGGCUGGUUAUAGUCCAGAUCAGAUAACAACAACAGUAUCAGCACACUCUGACAAUGCUGGUUGGUUUAUGUCAUUGGGAAAUAGGUCUUUGUACAGACAUGGUUUUCCCAACAGUGAUAGUGUAUAGAGAGAGUGGAUGACACAUCAGGUGGCUGAAUGCCAGGAAUGGGGCCUGUCCUGUGCUGGGCUGUGCCACUGGAGGAUAAGAUGGUCAGCACAACUCAAUGCUGUCUGCCUACCACUGGGACAGGACGGCCUGUUGGAGUGGCUACUGUUUACCCAUUCUCAGGUCUAUGCACGGUUACCAUGGCGCCGGGCUGAUUGCUCCUAUGAAUAUUUCUCUUCCUUUUGAGGUCGGGGUACAAUGCUGGCACAAUUGGCCCUGGGCCAUUGUCUCAGGACAACAUGUAGAGAUGUAGCUUUUUGACCAUCAUAAAUGUGACAUGCAAGCUUAGCUAAUACACAACAUUUACCCUGGGAUGAUUGUAAAUUAAAUCAAAUCAAAUCAAAUUUAUUUAUAUAGCCCUUCGUACAUCAGCUGAUAUCUCAAAGUGCUGUACAGAAACCCAGCCUAAAACCCCAAACAGCAAGCAAUGCAGGUGUAGAAGCACGGGACCCCUAAAUUAGGGACCCCUUUUUUGGGACUCAGGAUGAGUCUAAGCUUGAGGAGCAAGCAGCAAGCAUACAGAGUCGCCAAAUGACUUCAGGUUAGUGACCCAAAUUGAUGAUCAUAGUGAGAUAGAUGUUGACUCC